GUGAGGGCGAUCUGGCUGUGACAUCUGUCACCCUAUUGAUCACCAGGGUUGAUCUGCUGACCUGGCUGGCUAGGCAGGUGUCCCCUUCCUCCCUCAUGUGCGCCACUCCCGAAGCUACGCACUAGGUCGAAGAGGAUGACCUUCCCCAAAUAGAGACGGACUGGUCUUGGGUCAAGGGUAUAUGAGUAGCUGCAUUCUCCUGCUAGAACCUCCAAACAAGCUCUCAAGGUCCAUUUGUAGGAGAAUAAAGGAUAGUCAAGCUUCCAAGACUCUAAACAUAUACAAACAAGGUUGUGCAUGUGGCAGUCUGCCAUU
ensembl:misc_RNA 7SK 7SK RNA